rnacentral:rRNA from 1 species
UACGGAGGGUGCAAGCGUUGUUCGGAAUUAUUGGGCGUAAAGGGCGUGUAGGUGGCUCGCCAAGUCUGGUGUGAAAGCCCACGGCUCAACCGUGGAACUGCAUUGGAAACUGGCGAGCUCGAGUAUUGGAGGGGGUCGCGGAAUUCCCGGUGUAGAGGUGAAAUUCGUAGAUAUCGGGAGGAACACCAGUGGCGAAGGCGGCGAUCUGGGAAGAUACUGACGCUGAGGUGCGAAAGCGUGGGGAGCAAACAGG